UGUGGCUCAGUGGUGCAGUAUUUGCCUGGCAAGCAUGAGGCCCUGGGUUCAAAACCCAGCA
rnacentral:tRNA from 1 species